rnacentral:rRNA from 1 species
UGCCAGCAGCCGCGGUAAUACGGAAGGUCCUAGCGUUGUUCGGAAUUACUGGGCGUAAAGCGCAUGUAGGCGGAACAGAAAGUUAGAAGUGAAAUCCCUGGGCUCAACCUAGGAAUUGCUUUUAAAACUUCUGUUCUGGAAUUCAGGAGAGGAAAAUGGAAUAUCCAGUGUAGAGGUGAAAUUCGUAGAUAUUGGAUGGAACACCAGUGGCGAAGGCGAUUUUCUGGACUGAUAUUGACGCUGAGGUGCGAAAGUGUGGGGAGCAAACAGGAUUAGAUA